rnacentral:miRNA from 1 species
UUGAAGAAUUUAAAGACUUCAACU